UGUGCCCCCAGAGCUGUUGCAGAUGUGGCUGCUGUGUCACAUGUACAUCCAUAGGUGACAGAGAGGAGAGGCUAUGUCUACACUCAGUGUCCUGACCUGUGAACAUCUGAAUGAUUAGUAGACUAACAUU